AGGUGAAACAACUUGUCCAAGAUCAGCCAGCAAGCCAGUAGGAGACACAAAUCUAGGUCUCUUGACCCUAGACAUAAUGCUCUUCCACCUCUAUCUCUAUUUACUAAUUUUCAUUUACAAGUAAGUUGAUCCUUCCACAGAGCAGCCUUGCAAAUAUGUUUUGUCUAACAGUGCACAGUAGGAAAUUUCUAUCUUCAAUAUGAAGUUCCUCCCCAUGAAGGCGUUUUACACAGAAAAUCUAUGAUUUACUGGAUUUCUGGCACCCGCUGUGUACUGCACUAAACAAGAUCUCACUGACAUUGUUCAGUACCUGAGAGGAGCAGACCUUCCAUCAGUAUCUGAGGCUAAAAAGAGACACUGCAUUUGUCCAUGGGAGUUAAACUGAUCAAUUGUAAUCCUUCUGUUACAUCAAAUGGAC
rnacentral:lncRNA from 1 species